UGGCAGGAGAGACAGGACUUGAACCCGCAACACCCGGUUUUGGAGACCGGUGCUCUACCAUUGAGCUACACUCCU
rnacentral:tRNA from 1 species